rnacentral:rRNA from 1 species
UACGGGGGGGGCAAGCGUUGUUCGGAAUUACUGGGCGUAAAGGGCUCGUAGGCGGCCAACUAAGUCAGACGUGAAAUCCCCAGGCUCAACCUGGGAACUGCGUCGGAUACUGGAUGGCUUGAAUCCGGGAGAGGGAUGCAGAAUUCCAGGUGUAGCGGUGAAAUGCGUAGAUAUCUGGAGGAAUACCGGUGGCGAAGGCGGCAUCCUGGACCGGCAUUGACGCUGAGGAGCGAAAGCCAGGGGAGCAAACGGG